rnacentral:rRNA from 1 species
AAUUGUUCGCAAUGGGCGCAAGCCUGACGACGCAACGCCGCGUGGAGGAUGAAGGUCUUCGGAUUGUAAACUCCUGUUGCCCGGGACGAAUGGCUCCGACCUAACACGUCGGAGUGUGACGGUACCGGGUGAGGAAGCCCCGGCUAACUCUGUGCCAGCAGCCGCGGUAAUACAGAGGGGGCAAGCGUUGGCCGGAAUCAUUGGGCGUAAAGUGCUCGUAGGCGGCUCAGUAAGUCGGGUGUGAAACCCCCAGGCUCAACCUGGGGACGCCACCCGAUACUGCUGUGGCUAGAGUCCAGUAGGGGAGUGUGGAAUUCCCGGUGUAGCGGUGAAAUGCGCAGAUAUCGGGAGGAACACCAGCGGCGAAGGCGGCACUCUGGGCUGGAACUGACGCUGAGGAGCGAAAGCGUGGGUAGCAAAC